AUGGGAGUGGUGUUUUAUUUCUGUGUCUUCAAGGUAUUAGCACAUGUAUAAUAUCCAUCAUUUCACCUGAAAAUAUUAAUUUACACACAGCCAAAGACAGUUGAAUGUUUUAAAGGGAGAUUCACGGGUACCGAGAAGCCAAUUUAUAUAAGGGUUGGACAAGUCUGGUUUUGCAUUAAGGUCAACAAGUUAAAAUGUUAACACAGCAUAUCUGAUGUUAUCAGGCACGACUACACCGAACAUUCCAUCGGAGAGCCCAUCUGGUAAUACAAUUGCUCUGUUAGUGUGUGGUAUAAUCGCGGGAACUUUGGUAUUUGCUUUCUUUUGGUACUAUUGUUGCUGUAGAAGAAACGAUUCAACGGACUUAGAUGAAGAAAACGACAGAACUGUUAACAACAGAUCUAAUAGUGCAAUAUUUAUUGUUUCACCAGUCUAUAUAUUAGAUGAUAGUACCUUACCACCACCUUAUACCAGUAUACUAAAUGAGGACAACACAUCUGUUUCCGAACCCGUCCAAACUAUACCACGUGAACGACCUCCAUCUUAUUCAGAAUUACCCAGCUACGAAAAUGCGGCUCAAUAUGUGAUAACUGAUAAUACGAAUAAUGAUGAAGAGGCACGAGAUUUCAGGGGGCCGCAACGACGGAUAUCGAGGGAGAGAAUUCGAAGUCCACCACGCCAGUUGCGUAUACAAAGGCAUAUUAGUUCUGAAAAUGACGCUAGUGGAAACAUUAUUUCCAACCAAGAAACUGAUCCUUUGGAAAUUGAUAACACUAUUGGAUUGCAGCAUUCUUCCGAUACAAGCGUCUAAUAAUAAAUAAACAUAAUAGUGAGACCAUGUUGUAUUGGACUAUAAGCAGGAGGAACAGGUGACAUGUGCAUUAAUAGUCAACGGGUGUCUAAGAUGGGCCUGUGCACUUCUUCCCUUUUUAUACAAAUAAGCCGAGAUCUUAAUGGAAAAGGGCGCAGCAUAGUUUAUGGCGAUAUUUGAGUAGCAACCUGCAGUUAGGAUAAUACUAGACAUGACACCUUUUGGUUCGACCCACCGUGACCCGAGAGCAGGUCUGCAUCUACACAGCUCUAUUUGUCAAUAACUAUCAUGAACAGAGUCGUCAUUAAGGGAGAAAUGGCUAUGAAUGAUUUUCCUUUAAAACUUUUGAUUAUUGUUUCACAAUUACAAUUAAGCAUAUACCAGACACGGGCUCAAAAUGAUCUAAUAUCAAUCCAGUCGGAUAGACAGACAUUUUCGUUUGAAGAAAACGGCCAAUCACAAAAUGCGAUACUGACAGACUGGCGUCGCAAGGAGUGGGUGUGAUAGAUUUACUUUUCUUGUGUGUAAUUAUGUUAUUUAUAACAAAUUGGGUUUAGCAAGGUGAAAUUAAAAUGCACGAAUCAUUGCUAAUCCAAACACGUCAGAUCUAUCCCAAUGUUUUAGUGAUGUUCUCGAAGCUAGUAAUACAAUCGGUCUUUUAAAUUUUCUUAUUUAAUAUCAUUAAAGAAAAAAAUAUAAUUUUGUUACGUGUUCAUUGCGGAGAACAAAUUUUCGUGGAUGUCAGCAAGAUUAAUAAGUAAAAGGCUGGUAAUUGGGGAUUUAGAGAGUUAUAUUACCAGUCCAAGGCUACAAGGUAAAAUAUAUAAUUCGCCAAAAUACAAAACAUGUAAUCGGGUCACAACCUCCAGAUCCGUGACCAUUUCUCGGGGAACAAGGUUUGACGAUGGUUUCUGAUAGAACGGACACCCUAGUGAAGAUAUUUUUCUAAAGACUUAGUGUGGUAAGAGUUUAGAACAAAGUGUACCGUUGGAAAGCCAGUAUCAUAUAUUAUC